rnacentral:ncRNA from 12 species
GUGGGUGUAGCCAAGUGGUAAGGCAAAGGACUGUGACUCCUUCAUUCGCGGGUUCGAUCCCCGUCAUUCACC